GACGAACGCUGGCGGCGUGCCUAAUACAUGCAAGUAGAACGCACAGUUUAUACCGUAGCUUGCUACACCAUAGACUGUGAGUUGCGAACGGGUGAGUAACGCGUAGGUAACCUGCCUGGUAGCGGGGGAUACUAUUGGAAACGAUAGCUAAUACCGCAUAAUAUUAAUUAUUGCAUGAUAAUUAAUUGAAAGGUGCAAUUGCACCACUACCAGAUGGACCUGCGUUGUAUUAGCUAGUAGGUGAGGUAACGGCUCACCUAGGCGACGAUACAUAGCCGACCUGAGAGGGUGAUCGGCCACACUGGGACUGAGACACGGCCCAGACUCCUACGGGAGGCAGCAGUAGGGAAUCUUCGGCAAUGGACGAAAGUCUGACCGAGCAACGCCGCGUGAGUGAAGAAGGGUGUCGGAUCGUAAAGCUCUGUUGUAAGAGAAGAACGGGUGUGAGAGUGGAAAGUUCACACUGUGACGGUAUCUUACCAGAAAGGGACGGCUAACUACGUG
rnacentral:rRNA from 1 species